ACACACCCAGACACACUGUACACCCACCAACAGAUGCAUUGUCACCGCACAGCCGUCAACACCCAUCGGAUGACCUCACACACACGGUGACACUGCUGUCCUGUCGAGCAUGCGGUAAUGAAGAAGCUCUCCACUCCUGCCUCUCCUGGUCAAAGCGCUCCAUGAGCUCUGCCCUCUCGCAGCUCCACUUCUUCUCCCCGUGCUGCAGCUUCCAGCGGAGGUCCAAGGAGGUGCUGUGGCUGUCAGCCAGCAGCUGCCGAUGCUCCUCGCGCUCCUGCUUCAACGUCCACUCUGGGUCAACUAAAGGCUCCCCUGUACUUCCUUGUGCUUCACCUCGCACUUGACCUCUGGCUUCCUGCUCCAACUGAUUUUGUCCUGUCCCUUUAAGGGUGCAUGCUGGGACACCAUCUGUACCUGUGCAACCUGGCACUUCAUCUCUGCCCACUUGACCUCCCAGGCGGCUUUGUCAUUGGCAUAGGACUGCUGCAGUUGCCACCGCCACGACUCCUCCUCCUGCAGCUCCUCCCGAAACUCCUCCAGCAGCGUCCGCAGGGCCUGCUGCACCCGGCGGUUCUCCCUCAACUGAAACACAAAUGUUAAAUAAAUGUUAAGAUCUC